UGUGGGGGGUGAUUUGGGGGCGUUUGUAUGGAAACGUUUGUGCAAAUCUAGGGGCAUUGGGGGAAUUCUGCGCGGUUAGGGGAACUUUGUUGUGGAAACGUGUGGGGUGUUGGAGGGGUUUUGGCUUUGGUUUUUGUUUGUUUGUUCGCAUUUUUGGAAAAAUUGCUCGUGGUCUGGUGAUACAGGACCUUUUUUAAACAUGAUGACUUUCUGAGGAAAACUGGUGAUUUGGUAACUGUUUGUGGAACUCUGUGUGGAAAUGUUGUGUUUGGAAAUGGUGUGGUAAUUGUAGGGUGAUUUGGGAACUUUUUAAAGUGACUCGUGUUGUGGGACCUGUGGAAAACUGUGUGGGGAUUGGGGAAAUGUCGGCCUAUGCGGUUCUGGUGUGUGAGGGAAAUGGCGUGGGCAUUUGGAAACCUUUCUUGACGGCACGUGAUGGCUUUUGUGUGGGAAACUGGUCAUUUUGCGUGGGCAUUUCUUUCAGCACUCUUCAUGGGAAUGUGCUGGGCCGGCCCACGGGCGUCAUUUCCUCCAGUGCGGUGCGGUAAGCGGUGCGUGCGUUUUCACUCGCGUGAAAGUGUCUAAGGAGGGUGUGCCCUUUCUGGCAGGCUCCUCCUCGUGCCCCCGUCCUUGGAGCCAGCAUCUCAGCGAGGGGCCGCAGCGUGACAGGAGUGGGACUUGAGGCAGAAGGGCCCCCGGGAUGUGUGGUGUGGUGUGGUGUGGUGUGGUGUCUGCCAGGGUGACUGUGGGCAGCCAGACGGGUGUGCGGGGCCUGCACCCGUCCCUUCGAAGCAGCCAAGGCCCCAGGGGCGAGAGGAGAAGCGGAGAUGACAGACAAAUAGGAGUUAACUGAUAACCAGGGCAGAAAACCGUGCCAGGCACCCUGGAGGCACAGGUAAGAGCAUUGCGGUAAAGACUAGAGGCCAGACAGCCACGCGGCACCACGUGCAUUGUGGCUGCCCCAGAGUAAGUGUGCGAGAGCGCUGCCGUAGCUGGCUGGUGGCACAGAGGCCCUCCUGUAAGGGGGACACGCGUCUCUGUUUCCCUUUCUUUGUGCUGCACAGAGAACUUGUGUUCCUUGAGGGCUGUGACCUUCCUGUGACUCGGGCUCAGGUCUCUAGACACUUUCCUGCUGCCCUCGGCACUUUUUGAAGCUCCCCCCGCCCCCGCCUUUCCCCCCGUAAGCCGAGUUUUGUUCACGCCAGAUCUCGGUGUGGGGGCUGAGGCCCCGUUAAGUCCUUUGGGUGUUGUGGCUCCCGUGACAAGAGGCUGAAGUCACAGCCCUUCUGUCCCCCAAAACAGGGCAGCUUUGACCCCUGAUCAGGAGCUCCCGAGACACCUGUCAGCUGGCUUUCAGGGCUUUCAAGGUUUUCUCUGGGCUUCGUGCCGCAGCAGCCAGCUGUGCGCAGAGAGCACCGCCCUGUCAGCAGGGUUUCUGGUGUUGGCGGUCACUGUUCAUGGUGCCGCCCUAGCAGUUCUGUCCAGAGUCCCGGCUCAUCGCGCUCUCCUUCUGGAUGGCCCGGAUGUUGGCAACUGACCCUGCAGGAGACGGCCCUCCCCCAUCUCCACAGGUAGAGGACAGAUUGGCAGCAGGUUCCGGUAAGCAGAAGGGGAGGAGAGAAGAUAGGGUCUGUAGUCUGGCUGUCUGACGUGCUGACCUACAUCCGGUGUCCGUCUGUUUGUUAAGCCCCCGGACAGAGCAGCAGACAAGACGGCAGAUGGGCAGGCAUUAGCCAGUACGGAGGAAAGAAACCCCUGCCUGCCCGGUGGGACGGAAAGGUAAGGGAGUUUGGACACAGUGCCUGUCCACUCCACGGUUUGCAUCCCCAAGUUGUCGACCUUGUGAUUAGCGCCUUGCGGAAGGUCGGAGCACUGGGACCUCCUCGUACACAGGAUUCGGGUCUCGGGUCCUGCUGCCGUCAGACACAGGUAACUGCUAGGGCAGUGCUCGUCCUCUUGUAGUAUCCCGGACGUAUGUCACAACCCCCUUGUUUUAAAGGACACCGAGCUCGAGAGGACAAUGGAUGUUGUGAGCUACUUUCCUUUAUAUUUUUAGGGGGUUGUGCAAUUCUUUGCCAUCAGAUCCAGCUCUGUUUUGUGUACUCCUGCAGGUCCCUGACGGGCAGCUGGAGAAGAAGGAACGGAAGCCGGAGAAGAAAGCUCAGGAACAACCGGUGCGGGUUGGAGUGGGCAGGAGGCAGGGGAAUGUGGACUGUCUGCUUAGAGAAGGACCGAUGGGGACUGCUGAGCGCAUCUCUACACUGUCACGCACCCAUUAGGAGCAAGGAGCCGCACACUUCACGUUGCACCGUGCGUUCAGUCUUUGGUGGGCCCCGAUUGUGUGGAACGAGGUGGAGGCUUUGUGCUGGUUGUGUAGUUUGAUAUGUGGCAGUCAAAGAUUUGCAGGUGAUUUGGCUUUCCUAGUGACACAGUUGAUCAAAAUAGAUAUGAUUGAAGACAGUGUGUAGGGUUUUUCUUGGUUGGGCUGUUGAGCAGUUCCCCGUGUCAGUGUAGAAAGGCAGGUUUCUGCUCGGUUCUGAUUGUGGCUUGCCUGCAGCUUGCUUAGGCUGUAGUUUGUGUAGCUUAAUUUGAAGCUGUGCGGUGUAAUCUGUUUGCGUCUGUAAGGUAAGGCUCUCUGGGCGCUUGCAAGUAUUUAAUCUCCAGCUCCAUGGCCCAUGAGGAUGAACAUCUUGCCCUGUGUCCAAACGAUCCUGAAGGCAGUUGGCGGGGUCAGUGUCAAAUCGGUAGGAGCAAGCGGGCCUAAGACGUGCACAGUCGAACCAUAAACGGUCUCAGGAAUGUCACCUCGUGGCUGGUACUGUUCUAGGCUGAGAAGAGUUGGUCACGGGCCUUUCCUAUGAAGAGCUGGCUGAAACGAUGAACUUGUUCACUCAGUCUGCUGAUCCAAUCCGUGUUCUUACUUGUGCGAUGUAAAUAUUUCCCCCUAUUUCUGAUGGACCAGGGGUGAAAGAGUGUGCAACGCAUGGUCCCUGGUCGUCAGUUGACACUUGUUCCUGCACUGUAGGAAAUCAGUCCUGAUUACUGUGAGGGACUCAAAAAUAAGGUCCAGGGAAGUUGUGGUGCUUGGGUAUAAUCUGUUGAAGUUCAGCUGCCCCUUGUCCCAAAAGGAAAAAUGGUCCCAAGAAAAAUAAAAUGCUCAGGAAACUUGUGA